CCCGAGUCGUGAGCCCUCGUUUCCUGUGAGAAGGGGUUGUCUGCCAGGGUGGCUCCGACCCGGUAUUCCAUUGUGUCCCCCUGGUAGGGUACCACACUUGUCCACCAGGCUCAAGAAAGCAGAUGCCUGACGUCGCGUUUAAGUUUGGGGGGACAGAUAGAGACAACCAUCCAGAGUCUAGUGAAUUUCCUGGAAGGAGGCUGCAUCCUUCUCGAAACUUCUAUCAUCUCAGAAGCUGUCAUCCCAGGUUCAAAGCCGGGCAAACCCAACUGACUAAAGUCCUCCGGCCACAGACCCUGACAACCUGCUCCACACACCCAGCCAAGCCCGGCCUGUGCUGGGGGCGCCUCGCUGCUGUCCAGCAGAGGGCGCUGCCCCCCAACGUGGCCUCUUCCCCCCAGAGACUCCCCCAGCCUGGGCUCUCCUGUCUCUUGCAGCCACCUGACAGGGAGCCGCCCGGUCAGCUCGCCCGUGGUCACGGUUUAGCCUGUGGUUUUCUGUGUCCUUACCUGCCGGGGGCGCGGGGGGACGCCCAGAUAUGCAGGAGGCCGACCCCCGUACACCUUAUACCUCUGCUUCUGUUGUUUUCAGAUGCUAUACGAACAUUUCUAUGCUAGAUUCUUUGAAAUACAAAGGGGUUAAAACCCAGAUGCUGUAUAUUAAUUUGUAAUUAUGUAUAAAGUAAAACAGUUUUAAACUGUAAAAAUUUUUUUUCAGUGUGUUUUCUGGGAUUUUGCCACAACAUACUGGCUUUGUAUUUUAUUUAUCUUCCUUUCUAGUUAUUGGCUUCAGACUCUACUUGUAAAGUCCCCUCCACCCUUUCAAAAAAAUAAAUGUCCCUUAAGUCUCAAUUGUUGCUGUAUUGUAUUUCUCUGUGGGCUUCCUGGAGGGAGUGCCAAGAUACUCUGGGCUCCUGGUAAAGGGGUACCCCCUACCCUACGGAGAGCCUUCUCCCCAGGGUGCCUGGAUGGCUACUUUGGUUAAGCGUCCAAGUAAUGCUCAGUUUUGGCUCAGGUCAUGAUCUUAUGGUUCAUGAGUUUGAGCCCCAUGUUGGGCUCUGUGCUGAUGGUGCAGAGCCUUCUUGGAAUUCUCUCUCUCUGCCCCUCCCCUGCUUAUACUUCUUCCAAAAAAAAAAAAAAAAAAAAAAAAACAACAAAAAACCUUCUCCCCAAAGGGAAUUUGUGUUUCUAACAUACCUCUAGGAACAGAAGUUGGGAAGAUUCCAUAAGUGCUCAGUGGUUCCUCGGAGACAUUUUCCUGGGGCCCAGAGGCAAAACCCCAGGGGGUAACUGACCAGCCCUGAAGUCAUGGGGUUUGUGUCUGGAGUCAAAAUUAUUUCCAGUUAAAUCAGUGCAGCAAAAUUGCCCUUUGCUAUAGAUUUUACUCUGUAAAAAGUAUUAGUUUGCCUGCCUUUGACAACUUUCUCCACCCCGUACCAGCCCCCAGGACGACUUGCAAGGACAGCAGCAGGACAGACUCCAUGAAAUGUAGGAAAGAAGCCGUAUCAAAAACCGUAGGGAAGGGAGAGACACUGCCCGGAGCUACAUAGACC
ensembl:lncRNA